rnacentral:rRNA from 1 species
AACGAACGCUGGCGGCAUGCCUAACACAUGCAAGUCGAACGAGAAAGUACUUCGGUACGAGUAGAGUGGCGCACGGGUGAGUAACACGUAGGUGACCUACCAUUUGGGCGGGGGAUAACCCGAAGAAAUUCGGGCUAAUACCGCGUACGUCCCACAAUUUUGAAUAUAGUGGGAGAAAGCAUGCCUCUGCUUGCAAGCAUGUGCCGAAUGAUGGGCCUGCGGAACAUUAGCUUGAUGGUGGGGUAACGGCCUACCAUGGCUACGAUGUUUAGCUGGUCUGAGAGGAUGAUCAGCCACACUGGAACUGAGACACGGUCCAG